rnacentral:tRNA from 1 species
GCGGGAGUGGCGGAACUGGCAGACGCGCUGGACUUAGGAUCCAGUGCCUUCGUGGCGUGUGGGUUCGACUCCCACCUCCCGCA